rnacentral:tRNA from 1 species
GCUGUCAUAGCUCAGUCGGUAGAGCGCGUCCAUGGUAAGGACGAGGUCUCCAGUUCGAUCCUGGAUGACAGCUCCA